GAAGAAAAGGAACUAAACUUCCGCUUUAAGAGGACAAUAAAUGUUUCGGAUAGGUAGUAGUUAAAGUAAUGGUUUAACUAGCUUAAAAUUCCGUAAUCGAGGCUGAGAGGUCGAUCGAUCACAUUGGGUCUGAAAAAACCCCAAUACGUAUAGUACAGCAGUGGGGAAUAUUGGUCAAUAGCCUAACGGCUGAACCAGCAACUUGGGGGAAUGUAUAGCUUCGGCUAGUUA
rnacentral:rRNA from 1 species